rnacentral:misc_RNA from 1 species
GUCAACCUUCCAGUCAGCAUCCAGUUGUGCCUCUACUUCAGCCAACUCUUCAGCUUCCCCUUCUUCGGUAAAUCCUUCCCAUAACGACCAAAUCCCAAAUCCAAAAAACAACAAAGUUGUUAUAUGGUGUGUCCACUUGCGAGGUAUCAGGUUAGGUGCAGCCCAGCCAAGAAUCACAGAUAAAAUUGUCAUCACAAUCAAUGCUGUUAAACAUCCUGCCAAGACGAGCCUCCGUGGAUGUCGCAUCGCCAGGAUCGCGGCGGCGAAGAACGUCUUGUCCCCGAUCUCCGAUAACACAGUCAUCGCGAGCGACUUGGUAAAACCCUCGAGAACAGAGAGCCCCAUAGCUGCUCGCCGCCGCACCGGAUCAGAG